CCCUUAGAUGUUCUGGGCCGCACGCGCGCUACACUGACGAAUGCAACGAGCUUAUAACCUUGGCCGAAAGGUCUGGGUAAUCUCCAAAUUUCGUCGUGAUGGGGAUAGAUUAUUGCAAUUAUUAAUCUUCAACGAGGAAUGCCUAGUAAGCGCAAGUCAUCAGCUUGCGUUGAUUACGUCCCUGCCCUUUGUACACACCGCCCGUCGCUCCUACCGAUUGAAUGGUCCGGUGAAGCGUUCGGACCGUGGCCUUUGGACGGUUCGCCGUCUGUUGGCUGCGGGAAGUUCGUUAAACCUUAUCACUUAGAGGAAGGAGAANUCGUAACA
rnacentral:rRNA from 1 species